rnacentral:rRNA from 1 species
ACUUCGGAAGAAGGUGUGCCCUAGUAGUGUGAAGUGAACAACGGAGCAUGAAUGGGUUGCAAAAAAUCGGUGGCUGCGACUGUUUAUUAAAAACACAGCACUCUGCAAACACGAAAGUGGACGUAUAGGGUGUGACGCCUGCCCGGUGCUGGAAGAUUAAAUGAUGGGGUGCAAGCUCUUGAUUGAAGUCCCAGUAAACGGCGGCCGUAACGAUAACGGUCCUAAGGUAGCGAAAUUCCUUGUCGGGUAAGUUCCGACCUGCACGAAUGGCGUAACGAUGGCCACACUGUCUCCUCCUGAGACUCAGCGAAGUUGAAAUGUUUGUGAUGAUGCAAUCUCCCCGCGGAAAGACGGAAAGACCCCAUGAACCUUUACUGUAGCUUUGUAUUGGACUUUGAACAGAUCUGUGUAGGAUAGGUGGGAGGCUUUGAAGCAGGGUCGCUAGAUCUUGUGGAGCCAACGUUGAAAUACCACCCUGGUGUGUUUGAGGUUCUAACCUAGGUCCAUUAUCUGGAUCGGGGACAGUGCAUGGUAGGCAGUUUGACUGGGGCGGUCUCCUCCCAAAGCGUAACGGAGGAGUUCGAAGGUACGCUAGUUACGGUCGGACAUCGUGACGAUAGUGCAAUGGCAUAAGCGUGCUUAACUGCGAGACUGACAAGUCGAGCAGAUGCGAAAGCAGGACAUAGUGAUCCGGUGGUUCUGUAUGGAAGGGCCAUCGCUCAACGGAUAAAAGGUACUCUGGGGAUAACAGGCUGAUACCGCCCAAGAGUUCAUAUCGACGGCGGUGUUUGGCACCUCGAUGUCGGCUCAUCUCAUCCUGGGGCUGUAGCCGGUCCCAAGGGUAUGGCUGUUCGCCAUUUAAAGAGGUACGUGAGCUGGGUUUAAAACGUCGUGAGACAGUUUGGUCCCUGUCUUCCGUGGGCGCUGCAGAUUUGAGGAAGCCUGCUCCUAGUACGAGAGGACCGGAGUGGACACACCUCUGGUGUAUCGGUUGUCACGCCAGUGGCAUUGCCGAGUAGCUAAGUGUGGAAGAGAUAACCGCUGAAAGCAUCUAAGCGGGAAACUCGUUUCAAGAUGAGAUCUGCCGGGGCCUUGAGCCCCCUGAAGAGUCGUUCAAGACCAGGACGUUGAUAGGUCAGGUGUAGAAGCGCAGUAAUGCGUUAAGCUAACUGAUACUAAUUGCUCGUGCGGCUUGACCCU